rnacentral:lncRNA from 1 species
AACAAGGGGGAGAGAAGCCCGAUUCGGCAAGGGCAUAUGAGCAGUCCAAAAUUAGCUUUUGGGAGAUUUAUUCGGAGGUCCCUACACUUGGAAAUCAAUAAAAAAUCAUCACACCACUUUCACCCUUGAAACCGUCCACCACCUUGCUUGAUUCAAGUAUGAUUUCAUGCAUGAAUCAAGCAACCAACAACCUCCCAUCUCCAAAAUUCACAGAAGGCCAUGGGGAAGAGAAAACUAAGGGAUUUUAAAGCUAUUUUUAGUAAACCUCCUAGUCAUCCA